UAGGAUGAGACUAUAUAGUAUCAGCUAGUUGGUAAGGUAAUGGCUUACCAAGGCUAUGACGCUUAACUGGUCUGAGAGGAUGAUCAGUCACACUGGAACUGAGACACGGUCCAGACUCCUACGGGAGGCAGCAGUAGGGAAUAUUGCGCAAUGGGGGAAACCCUGACGCAGCAACGCCGCGUGGAGGAUGACACUUUUCGGAGCGUAAACUCCUUUUCUUAGGGAAGAAUUCUGACGGUACCUAAGGAAUAAGCACCGGCUAACUCCGUGCCAGCAGCCGCGGUAAUACGGAGGGUGCAAGCGUUACUCGGAAUCACUGGGCGUAAAGGGCGCGUAGGCGGAUUAUCAAGUCUCUUGUGAAAUCUAAUGGCUUAACCAUUAAACUGCUUGGGAAACUGAUAGUCUAGAGUGAGGGAGAGGCAGAUGGAAUUGGUGGUGUAGGGGUAAAAUCCGUAGAUAUCACCAAGAAUACCCAUUGCGAAGGCGAUCUGCUGGAACUCAACUGACGCUAAGGCGCGAAAGCGUGGGGAGCAAACAGGAUUAGAUACCCUGGUAGUCCACGCCCUAAACGAUGUACACUAGUUGUUGGGGUGCUAGUCAUCUCAGUAAUGCAGCUAACGCAUUAAGUGUACCGCCUGGGGAGUACGGUCGCAAGAUUAAAACUCAAAGGAAUAGACGGGGACCCGCACAAGCGGUGGAGCAUGUGGUUUAAUUCGAAGAUACGCGAAGAACCUUACCUGGGCUUGAUAUCCUAAGAACCUUAUAGAGAUAUGAGGGUGCUAGCUUGCUAGAACUUAGAGACAGGUGCUGCACGGCUGUCGUCAGCUCGUGUCGUGAGAUGUUGGGUUAAGUCCCGCAACGAGCGCAACCCACGUAUUUAGUUGCUAACGGUUCGGCCGAGCACUCUAAAUAGACUGCCUUCGUAAGGAGGAGGAAGGUGUGGACGACGUCAAGUCAUCAUGGCCCUUAUGCCCAGGGCGACACACGUGCUACAAUGGCAUAUACAAUGAGACGCAAUACCGCGAGGUGGAGCAAAUCUAUAAAAUAUGUCCCAGUUCGGAUUGUUCUCUGCAACUCGAGAGCAUGAAGCCGGAAUCGCUAGUAAUCGUAGAUCAGCCAUGCUACGGUGAAUACGUUCCCGGGUCUUGUACUCACCGCCCGUCACACCAUGGGAGUUGAUUUCACUCGAAGCCGGAAUACUAAACUAGUUACCGUCCACAGUGGAAUCAGCGACUGGGGUGAAGUCGUAACAAGGUAACCGUAGGAGAACCUGCGGUUGGAUCACCUCCUUU
rnacentral:rRNA from 1 species